rnacentral:tRNA from 1 species
UUGGGCAUGUGGCUCAGUGGUAGAGUGCUUGCCUAGUUGCAUGAGUUCCUGGGUUCAAUCCCCAGUGCUGAGA